GCUGGCGUAGCUCAGUCGGUAGAGCAGCGGAUUUGUAAUCCGCCGGUCGCAGGUUCGAAUCCUGUCGCCAGCUCCA
rnacentral:tRNA from 1 species